UGGGCUGGUCGCAAGACCCGGGUCCACCAAAUGGCGGGUAAGACACCC
rnacentral:sRNA from 12 species